rnacentral:rRNA from 1 species
UGUCCAGACUCCUACGGGAGGCAGCAGUGGGGAAUAUUGCACAAUGGGGGAAACCCUGAUGCAGCGACGCCGCGUGAGUGAAGAAGUAAUUCGUUAUGUAAAGCUCUAUCAGCAGGGAAGAAAAUGACGGUACCUGAGUAAGAAGCCCCGGCUAACUACGUGCCAGCAGCCGCGGUAAUACGUAGGGGGCAAGCGUUAUCCGGAUUUACUGGGUGUAAAGGGCGUGUAGGCGGGGAAGCAAGUCAGAUGUGAAAACCACGGGCUCAACCUGUGGCCUGCAUUUGAAACUGUUUUUCUUGAGUGCUGGAGAGGCAAUCGGAAUUCCGUGUGUAGCGGUGAAAUGCGUAGAUAUACGGAGGAACACCAGUGGCGAAGGCGGCCUGCUGGACUGCAACUGACGUUGAGGCCCGAAAGCGUGGGGAGCAAACAGGAUUAGAUACCCUAGUAAA